rnacentral:rRNA from 2 species
GGACUACAGGGGUAUCUAAUCCCUUUUGCUCCCCACGCUUUCGUGCCUGAGUGUCAGCAAUUGUCCAGGGAGCCGCCUUCGCCUCUGGUAUUCCUCACGAUAUCUACGCAUUUCACUGCUACACCGUGAAUUCUGCUCCCCUCUCCAAUGCUCUAGCCAAGUAGUUUGAGGUGCAAUUCCGGAGUUGAGCUCCGGGCUUUCACGCCUCACACACCUGGCCACCUGCGCACCCUUUACGCCCAGUGAAUCCGAAUAACGCUUGCAGUCUCUGUAUUACCGCGGCGGCUGGCAC